rnacentral:lncRNA from 1 species
CCUGGCCUACACAGCUGAAGGAGAGAUCAACAAUGUGCAGUGGGCAUCAACUCAGCCCGACUGGAUCGCCAUCUGCUACAACAACUGCCUGGAGAUACUCAGAGUGUAGUGUUGGUGGCGCUGUGCCCACGAGGCAGGGGCUUUUGUAUUUCCUGCCUCUGCCCCACCCCCAAAGACUCUGGCUGGCCAUGUGCUUGUGGUUGCCUCUCCUGCAUUUGCCACUGGAUUUGCACUGCAUCGUUUGGAGAUACAAAGCGAGCAGUUCUUGCCUCCUGUAUAAGAAGUACCGUAUUUUCUGCCCAUCAUACUUUGUAAUAAAACUUGA